rnacentral:rRNA from 1 species
UACGUAGGGCGCAAGCGUUAUCCGGAAUUAUUGGGCGUAAAGAGCUCGUAGGCGGUUUGUCGCGUCGGCCGUGAAAACCUGCAGCUUAACUGUGGGCUUGCGGUCGAUACGGGCAUCACUGGAGUUCGGCAGGGGAGACUGGAAUUCCUGGUGUAGCGGUGAAAUGCGUAGAUAUCUGGAGGAAUACCGGUGGCGAAGGCGGCAUCCUGGACCGGCAUUGACGCUGAUGAGCGAAAGCUAGGGGAGCAAACGGGG